rnacentral:lncRNA from 1 species
AGAGAUACAAAUCAUACAAAAGACACUAACCGGUUAACCCAAUCUCAAGCCGGUUCAUACAAACAAGCUUGUUUUAUUUUUACCUUUUGGAUCAACAAAGUCGGCUACGAGAACGGCCACAAUGAAGAAAGAUCUCGGUAGGUUCCAAGCAGCCACGGAGCGAGUCGUGACCAAGCUGAGCUCUUUCGUUAUCCCCAAACCCGAAUAUGCGACCACCUUGAGUCACCACAAUGGUGUGAUACAAACCUGUGCUUACUUGACACACACGGUGUUGUUUCAGACACUCCAACACUCUUGGCCUCAGGACUUUGUCUGAAACUCCUCUGUCAGGGAACCCUAGGCUUCCAAAUCCCAUCCACCCAAAACCAUACAACAAUCCACCUUCCACUAAUACAAAAGUUUUCCUCUUUCUUGCACACACCUGCAAGACAAUGUAGAGUCAUGAUCAGCAUAUCAGUUCCUGCUCAAGAACUCUUAGAAUACAGGAACAAUCGUUGUGCUUUACACGAAAGAAUCUGACCUGGACAGCGAGGCAGUUGUUGAGACUGACUAAAACUUGAGGAGUGAUCUUGUCGUUUUCAUCUCCAUGGCCUAGAGCACCACAGUAACCUUUACCCCAUGUGUAUACCUAAGGGUUCAAAGAACAAUCAAAACAAGAUUCUUCUGAUUUCUCAAAACCAAAUUGAGACAUAGAGAGAGAGAUGGAAACAAAGAGCUUACACGGCCAAUGGAAUCAAGUGCCACGGCGUGUUCAUCCCCUGCAGAGACACGGAGUAUAUGGAUACCUUUUCUUUUAAAAGCCUGAAUGACACGCGGCUGGUGCUCGUCCUGCUGCUCUCCAUGACCAAGACAGAAACUAGAUCCAGAGCCAAACGAGUAAACCGAGCCAUCUUGUGUUACAGCUAAAACAUAGCUCGGCCCCGUUGAGAUUUGCACCACAGGGCCAACGCUUUGAAGAAACUCAACAGCUUUGGGUACUGGUCUGUCCAAGGUAUCGCCAUGACCAAGCUGUCCGUGUGUGUUUGAUCCACAAGUAAAAACUCUACCUUCCCUUGAUAGAAACACAGUGAAGUGAAGCCCUGCAGCAACCUGGUACAGAAGAUGAGAUCAGGAAUGUUCUAUUAACUCAAUUUAGAUACAGUUGGUAUCAGUUUUUACCUGCUUACAAGGAGUUCCCUUCAAAGCCUCAACAAGCUUAGGCCUAAAUAUUGGGCGGCUUAUAUCUAAGUGACCACAGCAAUGCGAUGAAUUAUCCCCACAUGUGAGAACCUGUGCAGGUUUUCAAGUAAGCAUACAUACUCAAUAGGACAGAUUUUUAUAGAAAGAAGAAGCAACCAACCUCUCCAGAUUGCAACACAAAAGCAGAAUGGUUCUGUGUGGCAGAGACUUGAGCCACUUGAGCAGAGAAGGGGAAAACUACGAGAACGGCCAUAAUUGAGAAACAUUCUAACUCCCAAGCAGCCACGGAGUGAGUCAUGAUCAAGCUGAGAUCUUUCGUUAUCUCCAAACCCAAGAAUGCCCGACCAUUGAGUCAUCACAUUUAUACAAACAUGAGCUAACUUGAGAAACAUAGUGUGGUUUCAGUCUAGAGAUGUUAAAAUGGGCCUGAAAGCCCGCGGGCUUUAACGAGCUGACCCGUGACCCAUUUAUCAUCACGUAGAAAUAACCGAGUUUAUAUGGGUUGGCCCUUUAUACCCGUUUUGUUAAUGGGCAUAUCCGUUAAAUAAAUUUGUGUCCGUUUAGGUCUAUUAUAGGUUUAUAAAAAAAUUACAAAUUUAUAUUUAGUAGGGGUUAUUGGUUGUUGUAUUUUAAUGGAUUUGAAAAUCCGAACUAAAUCUAGUGUUAUUGGUUCUAUAAUUUUCAAAUCUGUAUUAAAAUCAUGUGUUAUUGGUUUAAUGAUUCAUAAAUUCUGUAUCAAAUCAAGUGUUAUUCAAUCGUACGGAUUUACUAAUAUAUUUGAUUUUAUAAUGGAUUUGAAUGGAUUUGUUUGGAUUUUUUAGUUAAAAAUACAAAGACUCAAAUCCGAGGGAAAACCUCCGGAUUUGCGUAUUUUACUUGGAUUUAUAAAUACUAUAUGGAUUUCUAAAUCAAUCAAAAAUAUAUAAACCAAUAACACCUAAGGAUAUUUUUAAGAAAUUUAUAACUUUUAAAUUUUUUUUUUGAAACAAAAUAGUCAUAUUGUAUUUAGUUUGUGUGUUUUUAUUUUUGAAAAAGUUUUUAUUUUUGUUAUAAUUGUGUGUUUAAAACUUACUAUAACUUGGGUGAAUUGUUAUUUUUGAUCCAAGUCAUGCGAUUGAAAGUUAAAAGACUCUAAUGGAGUAUUGAAACAAUAACAAUAACAACGUCAUUACAUAAAACGUCAUAAUGGAUUAACAUGGUAAGAGAGAAAUAAUAACAAAUUUGUAUUUAAAAAAAACUGUAUGUAAAAAAUAAUAAUAAACGGACUCACGGAUCUAAAGAAACAUUUCCAUUUCCAUGUUAAACGAGUUCACAGUUAAAUGGGUUUUAACGGGUUCACAAUUAAAUGGGCAUACGGUUAACCCGCUUUAAACAAACAUGGUCUAAACAGGCCCGGGUAGUCCGCAUUAACAUUCCUAGUUCAGUCCCAGCCCAGAGCACUACUUUGUUCUGUUUUGAACAUUACUUGUGUUUGCUAGCGUUCCAAAUGAGAGCCUUUGUUCACCACUUUCUUCCCAUAACUUUUUUGUUGUUGUGUGUGCGCUUUCAUCAAGAAUACAAUAACCAAUAAUCACUAAGUAUUCCGUCCCACUAGUCCCUAAGCUGAGCAUAUCUCUUUGUAAUGAGCUUCCAAAACACAUUGCUAUAAAUCCUAGUGGUCCACCGACGAUUUUGGUAACCGACACUUUCUGUUUUUGGAAACCAUCAUUAUUUCCAACUACCCAUUUAUGACAUCCUCGAUUAUUGCACUAUGUAUUUCUUCUAUGGAGUGACCUCAUAGAUUUUCCAAAUUGGAAUCAUUUACCAUUGAUAUUCAAUUUUUUCGCUCUUUCCAAUUGAAUCUAGUCUCAGUUCAUACGAAUUUCAUACAUUCCACAGGUGGAUCGACGUCAUUCCCAUUCCAUUACAAUUCAUACCGGAAAUAUCUUUGGUACAGUCAUGGACUAACAAAAAAACAUCAAAGAGAUACAAAUCAUACAAAAGACACUAACCGGUUAACCCAAUCUCAAGCCGGUUCAUACAAACAAGCUUGUUUUAUUUUUACCUUUUGGAUCAACAAAGUCGGCUACGAGAACGGCCACAAUGAAGAAAGAUCUCGGUAGGUUCCAAGCAGCCACGGAGCGAGUCGUGACCAAGCUGAGCUCUUUCGUUAUCCCCAAACCCGAAUAUGCGACCACCUUGAGUCACCACAAUGGUGUGAUACAAACCUGUGCUUACUUGACACACACGGUGUUGUUUCAGACACUCC